GACGAACGCUGGCGGCGUGCUUAACACAUGCAAGUCGAACGGAAAGGCCCUGCUUUUGUGUGGUGCUCGAGUGGCGAGCGGGUGAGUAACAUGUGAGUCACCUGCCCUUGACUUUAUGAUAUCUUCAGGCAACUGGGGCUAAUACCGGAUAGGUGCUCCUGCUGCAUGGUGGGGGUUGGACAGUUUGGGCGGUUGGGGAAGUACUCGGGGUUUAGCAGCUUGUUGGUGGGGAACUGACUUACCAAGGCGUGGACGGCUAGCCAGCCUGGAAGGGUGAUCGGCUCCAGGGGCCUUGGGGAGGGACCAGGAGGCAUACUGGGGCAAGGGGGGGGAAUAUUGCACAAUGGGGGGAAGCCUGAUGCAGAAACGCCGCGUGCGGGAUGACGGCCUUCGGGUGGGAAACCGCUUUCGCCUGUGACGAAGCGGGAGUGACGGUAAUGGGUAAAGAAGCACCGGCUAACUACGUG
rnacentral:rRNA from 1 species